rnacentral:rRNA from 1 species
GACGAACGCUGGCGGCGUGCUUAACACAUGCAAGUCGAACGGAAAGGCCCUGCUUUUGUGGGGUGCUCGAGUGGCGAACGGGUGAGUAACACGUGAGUAACCUGCCCUUGACUUUGGGAUAACUUCAGGAAACUGGGGCUAAUACCGGAUAGGAGCUCCUGCUGCAUGGUGGGGGUUGGAAAGUUUCGGCGGUUGGGGAUGGACUCGCGGCUUAUCAGCUUGUUGGUGGGGUAGUGGCUUACCAAGGCUUUGACGGGUAGCCGGCCUGAGAGGGUGACCGGCCACAUUGGGACUGAGAUACGGCCCAGACUCCGACGGGAGGCAGCAGUGGGGAAUAUUGCACAAUGGGCGGAAGCCUGAUGCAGCAACGCCGCGUGCGGGAUGACGGCCUUCGGGUUGGAAACCGCUUUCGCCUGUGACGAAGCGUGAGUGACGGUAAUGGGGAAAGAAGCACCGGCUAACUACGUGC